rnacentral:rRNA from 1 species
AAUAGAUACCCCGGUAGUCCACGCCGUAAACGAUGAGUGCUAAGUGUUGGGGGGUUUCCGCCCCUCAGUGCUGCAGCUAACGCAUUAAGCACUCCGCCUGGGGAGUACGGUCGCAAGACUGAAACUCAAAGGAAUUGACGGGGGCCCGCACAAGCGGUGGAGCAUGUGGUUUAAUUCGAAGCAACGCGAAGAACCUUACCAGGUCUUGACAUCCCGGUGACCACUAUGGAGACAUAGUUUCCCCUUCGGGGGCAACGGUGACAGGUGGUGCAUGGUUGUCGUCAGCUCGUGUCGUGAGAUGUUGGGUUAAGUCCCGCAACGAGCGCAACCCUUAUUCUUAGUUGCCAUCAUUCAGUUGGGCACUCUAAGGAGACUGCCGGUGAUAAACCGGAGGAAGGUGGGGAUGACGUCAAAUCAUCAUGCCCCUUAUGACCUGGGCUACACACGUGCUACAAUGGACGGUACAAACGGUUGCCAACCCGCGAGGGGGAGCCAAUCCGAUAAAACCGUUCUCAGUUCGGAUUGUAGGCUGCAACUCGCCUACA